rnacentral:rRNA from 1 species
AAGGACGUGGCACUCGAGAAUUGAUGUGAUUGCAGACACACUGAACUUGAAUACUUUGAACGCACAUUGCAGCGUCGACGAAACAUGUCGACGCUACGCCUGUCUGAGGGUCG